rnacentral:lncRNA from 1 species
AACAUUCGAAUUUUCAACUUCCAAACCAAAGGGGAAGAUAAAAUACUACAGAUUUAGUUCAAGCGUAAAACAAGGGCUAGCUAGUUUUAUCAAGAAAACAAUAAAUUCCAAAGGCAAUGACAAAGACAAUGACAAAGGUAAUCUCAAAAUGGUAAGACCCUAAUAACUUCAAAAUCCACGCAUAAACCUCUUUUAUCUUAGGAUACAAAAGAGAUUGAAAGUCUUAAAACAAACAUUAUAAGAUUAACAAGAAAUUCACUGUCAAAGAACAUGACAGCUCACUCUUCAUCUUCUUCAUCUCCAUCUCCACCAGAUGCUUUCUUGGCAGCAGACUUCUGGUUCUUUCGCUUCACUCUACCAGGGCGUCCACCACCAAAGGGACUUGUGAGAGAGAAAUCAAUGUGCUUCUGCGAGUCCACCCUCACCAUGAAAGAUGGAAUAUUGACCACCUGCCUCCCAACCCUGUAGGACCAAGGGAAAUAUCAAUGAAAAAAAUCCAGAAUCCGACUGUAGCAUACCAAAACACAAAAUGUGAAGGCAGACCAGGUCAAAAUAGUUUUAUAUAUAUGAAAUGAAAGUUUUGACAAGCAAAUCUCAAGCUCUGAAAUCACAGGACCUUAGCAUGGAUGCGAAUUCCGCAGAAAAGAAGCCAAAACCAUUAUAACCAGAAAAAACAAGAAGAUGAAAAGAAAAUACUGUUCGAAAAAUAGGAGAUGCAAACAAUUGCAUUGAUUAUCUAACCCAAAUACAUCAGCUCAAUCAACAUAAGAAUUAGAAUUAUUAUACUUACCUAAUGUGCUUCUGUUUAAUGAGAACUCGGGCAUGGUGGAUCGACUUCGCCAUACCAGCCUUGAAAACAAGUGUCUGGAGGCGGCGCUCGAGAAAGUUCUCCACCGUAAGGGCCAACACGUAAUCCAGCUUGUUCUGGCUCUCCUCCAAAAGCCCAUACCUAUUCAUCCUCCUCAAAAGCGCCUCACCCUCAAAGAUGCGGCGAGAGUUCUUCUCAUCAAGGGUUAGAAGCAUUCUGGCAGCAUUACGAAUGCGACUCAAUGCAUACUGGACCCUCCAGAGUUCCCUCUUGGCACGGAGCCCGUACUCUCCGACGAGCUUCAGCUCAGCAUCCAAACGUUCCUUCUCAUAGGGACGCCUGGGUUUCUUAAAAGUUUUCCCGUCUAUAGAAAAAAAAAACAAAGAACACCAAGUUCACUAUUAUUAUUCGACUCAUCAAACCAAAAUCAAUAUGCAGAGCCCAAAUGAUAAGCACUAUGGGGUACAGAAAAUUGAAAGCUAAAUUUCAAAACUCUCAGUAAAACAAUACGCAUCAGAUUUUCCGUCUUUCAUCACUUCAUAAUUUGCAAACAGCAGAAGAUAGAAAAAUAAGCUAAAAUAAGUUGAAACUCGACAGAAACACCUCAUAAGAUUAAGAAAUUGGACUGAAAAUUAAAAGAAAGAUAGAUCGGUAGCUUACAGUUACGAUAGAAGGAGACGUGCACCAUGCUUGUAGACUGCCGCCUGCGAACUUAGGGUUUAGGGUGGCGAUUGACAAGGAUAGAACAUGUAUUUAUAUCCCCAUAUACCCUAACUUAUUUGGGCUGGUGUUAUAACCAAUUGGGCUAAAGCCUCAAACCUCUUUCUUUUGCUUUUGUUUUACUGUUUUUUCUCAGUAUUUACUGGACCGCUUCAAGCUAGCUAGCUUUAACUAAGUUAAAUUUUUUUCUAAAUAAAAUAAAAAUGAUAAUAGUGAUUUUAAAGGGGUCAAAAAAAUAGGGUUCGGAUAAGAUAAUUGUUUCAGUUCCAUAAGUCUAAUUAAUUUAAUAAUAUAAUUAUAAAAAAAUAAAUACAUUUUAAUAUUAUGAAAAAUGUCCUCUGAAUAAUCUAAAAGGUCAUAAUAAUAUUAUUUGAUAAAAAAAUAAAAAUGAAAUGAGAACGGAAUAACCUUAGAAAAAAAAAGAAUAAAAAAGGUCUUAAUUAUUAAUAAAUUAAAUGUUAAAGGAUGAAUUGAAGAGAAAAAUCAAUUGUAAAAAAGGAUAAAAAUAUAUGACUCAAGUCAGCAUGCUGAAUUCGUGGUUUAAUUGUGAGGUUAAGACAACCUUGCACAAAAAAAAUUGAAUAAAACAAUGAAAGGCGAAACUGAAAAAAAAAUUAAAAAAAACAUGAGUUAACUCGAGUUAACUUAAUUAACCCAUGACUUAGAAUAUGAGAUCGAAAUAACUCUAUAGGAAAAAAAAAGUGAAAAAAAUCACGAAGCUAAAGGUCCAAUAACAUAAUGUUAAAUGAUGAAAAUAAAAAAAACUAUUUUUUUAUAAAAAAAAACCUAAAAAGGACUGAAGUCAAAUCAAAUUAAUCUUCAAAACCUAUAACUCGGGUCAUGAGACUAGGUUACCCCAUAGAAUGCAAAACCAAAAAAAAUCACAAAGCACAAUUUCCAGUCAUCUAACAAAAUAGAUAGCAAUCGAAAUAAUAAGGAUCAAAUUUGGUAUAAAAAUUAAAUUAAAUAAAAGAAUGAGGGAUGAAAUUAAAAAAUAAAAUAAAUCAAGAAAAGGAUACAAAAAAAUGAAAUUAAGAGAAUGAAGACCAAAAUUGGUAUAAAUUAAAUGAAAUAAAGUAAUGAGGGAUUGGACCAAAUCCGGUAUAAAUUUAAAUGAAACAAAGUAAUGAGGGAUGAACUUGAGAAAUAAAAUAAAUCAAGAUAAGGAUAGAAAACCAAGAAAUAACAAUCGAGAUAAUGAAGACCAAAUAUGAUAUAUGGAAAAAUUAAAAGAGAAUAAAAUUGAAAAAUAAAUUUAAUUUUAUAAAUUAUUUUAAAUAAAAUCAAUAGUAAUCAAAAUAAUAAGGAUAAGAUUUGAAUGAAAAAAUUAAAGAGUUGUUUGAGAAAUUACAGGAGUGGACAUGAAAAUCGGCAGGGAGAGAAAAAGAAAAGGAAAAAAGAUCAUCGACGUUAAUUUUAUGGUUCGUUGAUUACACGUGUUGUUCUAAAAUAGAGAGGUUAUCGAUAAAAUUCGAACAUUGGCCUAGAAUCAACUAUUUGGCUUCUGGACUAGCCCUUACAUGUCCACUUUGAAAACAAUAUCUACCACUUUUAAACAAGCACUUAGUUAUCUGACUAAAAGUUGGUUUUCAUGCAGCUGAAGCAGAGAGUGAGGAAGCGACAAGAAGGUUUGAGACAAUUGUGAGACUGAUGAACGAAGAAAUUGUGCGCUUUCAAGAACAGAAAACAUUGGAUAUGGGGAUUGCUUUCCAUGAAUUUGCAAAAGGACAGGCACGUUUGGCAAAUAGCAUUGCAGAUGCUUGGAGAAGUCUUCUUCCAAAACUCGAAGCAUGUUCCUCGUAAUGAGAGUAUUUUUCUUCCUUCUUAGGAAUGAUGGGCCCAGCUCUUGCUUUGUAAAAACCAUAGGGUUUGGGAAGUUCUGCUAUUCUGGUGUUGUACAAUUUGACUCCUUUGCAAAUUUUUGUUUCUUGUACAAAUUUGAAGCCUUGUGAAGAACAACAAGAGCGAAACACGAAAAAUGUUCGUCUGUCUCAUACUUUAGAUCCUCUCUUCCAUUAAGAUCUUCACAUCUCCAAAAUAUUUUUACAUUAUUAUGCAAAUCAAUCAUAUUUUUUGUUUGCGGUGGUUUUUCCAAAGAACCGUAUUAGACUGUUGUCCUAGUUUUGGAUGUUCCCACCUGCACGAGAUUGGACAGAAAGGAUUAAGAAAGAAAGACGGGUGUUUAUGUUCAAAGAUGUUAUUUAGUGAUUUCCAGGCAUGAUUUCGGCAGAUUGAUUCCCCGAUGAUCUGGAGGCGGGAAUUCUCCUGCUGCCUGGAUAAACUCUGAUUUUUCUUUAAAAAAGAAAUAAAGAUCAUGCAAUUACAAGUCAUCCUGUAUCAUUCCAGUGUUCUGAUCAUGUUCAUGCAUUCGCCAUCUUCAAAUGUGAAGCUUUUUUGUAAGUUGGAGUGAGAUCUCCAUCAACAUUCGAAUUUUCAACUUCCAAACAAAGGGGAAGAUAAAAUACUACAGAUUUGGUUCAAGCGUAAAACAAGGGCUAGCUAUAUUUAUCAAGAAAACAAUAAAUUCCAAAGGCAAUGACAAAGACAAGGACAAAGGUAAUCUCAAAAUGGUAAGACCCUAAUAACUUAAAGAUCCGCGCAUAAACCUCUUUUAUCUUAGGAUACCAAAGAGAUUGAAAGUCUUCAAACAAACUUUAUAAGAUUAACAAGAAAUUCACUGUCAAAGAACAUGACAGCUCACUCUUCAUC